rnacentral:misc_RNA from 1 species
ACCAAACUAUGAAACUAUAAGACCAAAUCAUACAUGAUUUUAACGGAACAGCCUGCUCUCAACUCUCAAGGCAAUAGAGAAGACGGCAGAUAAGCUUAAUUAUCUAUGCCCGCAAGUCAUUGCUCAUAUCAAUCAAACAAUCAAGCCAGCCAAGCCAAAUAACUCCUUUUCCACCCCCAUCAGAUAAAAUCAACACAUAACACACAAAUAAUGGUAUAAGACAGUAUUCACCAUAAUUUAACCUCAGUCACUGUCAGAGACAACCAUCACUUCUUUUGCCUUUUUAGCCACUUAAGAUAGAAAUACACCAAACUGAGUUAAAGUUUUGCCAUAUGUAAAUAAAGUAUUGACCCUGAAGACAAGUGAAACAUUCUCUGUCAAGGCAAUAACUUUUGUCUUUGUAAGAUUGCAUCAAGAACAACCACUAGAGAGCCAAGCUAGAAUGAUAACGACUUCACAACUUCCUUAAAAGAAGAAAUAGCCGCUGAUCAAGCUCAAAAUGAGAGACAUGAGAAGGAUCUCCUUUCAGCAUCAUUAGAAGCCCACCAUAUGAAACAUAUAUCUCCGCUUUAACUGCUUUUCCUGAACCUUCCUCAGAAAUCUUGUAUAAUUUCCCAUGCAUUAUGUAUUCAUAUUUGUCUGCAAGGGUUUUCCUUGCUCCCUGAAUAUAAUAGCCAGUGUCGGGUGUUCCAUCCAAAUUUAGAGUGUGUGCCAACGCCAUGGUGAAUUUAUCACCUACAGCCAUUGGGUAUAUUUCUGUAUUCACAUCUAAGUGCAUGAACAUGUCACAGUUCUGGCUGUGUGCUUCAAUACGCGAAACUACAUAAAAAUACAAAUAACUGGUAAAUUUCCAAUUUCUGCAUAAACAAUUAAGUAUAGCUCAAAAGAAGUAAAAAAGAGUAAUUACAUGCACAAUGCUUACAGCUUCCACAGAAUCAUAUUUAUAAGUGCUUUAUGCAUUCCCUUUUCUUAUAUAGUAUUUGAAGUAUCAUUGCCACUGUCAAGUAUUUUGUCAAAAGUGAUUUAAUAAAUAAAAUAUAGUGUUAUGAAGGUCAAAAGGUAAAUGAAGUUCAAUAUAUUAUGUCCAACAAAGCAACUUCAUAUCCAUAUUCCUAUAGUUGGCGGGACAGAGGGCAAGGGUUUAACGCUAUCAAUAAUCCUUAAAUUGUAGGAACUCAUUAUUUUCAUGAAGCUCAUAAUUUCUUAAACUAUGUGCAUGCUAUGAACCACUUGUAACAGAGUUGAGGUCAGGUUCCUCCAAAGAACUUAUGCAUUAAUAUAUUGAGUAUUGAUAAGCUUGAAAGUAUAAUAAUACAGGAUAAGAAGCACAGAAUGAGAAGCAAGUGAUUUUCGUAUACAAGAUCCAGUUCCAAAACAAUUGAGAUUCACAACCACACUAUUAAGUAUCAUACAUAACAUAGAUGAUAGAUCUGGCAUUGAUUACAUCAUUGUCACAAGGAAACAAUAGCUUUUAAGUGUUUGAUCUUCCUUAUAAAUCUUCCAUGUUCCAUAUUGCCUUUCUUGAGUUUUUUAUUGGCUGCAUUAGUCCAAUGCAUCAAGCUCUCUCUAUCCGCUAACCAUUGCAGGAUGGAAACCAGAUGAAGUACAAAUUUUCAUCUAAAAAUGAGGAUCAGUAUUCAAACUAGCAUUAUAACCUUAAGCAAGGUGAAAGUUGCAUGCCCAAGUCGGUAAUAUGUUACAACUUCCCCAGAUGAAGAAUCCGGCAAAUCAUACUAUGGCUUAAAUCUUUAUCAAACUUUUUGCCAUCUGGAUCUAGUUUAUCAACCACAAAAAUAUCCUCGAAAAGAACUAUAUUCGACAUGGGUACUGCAGAGUUCAACCCAAACAGCAAAUGAGUACCCACAAAUAUGCAUGAAGAAAGAACUAGAAAAAAGCACUAACAAUGGAAUAUCCAAGUCAAUACAAUUAAUAACAACAGAAAAGAAAGCAAUCAAUACUUUCAAGUAUAGCAAUUAGUAAGCCCUUACAAUUCUCAAACAAAGUAAAAGCUCAAAGCCUCGAAAGGCAAAUUGAAUAAGAUUAAACCCAGAAGGUAAAAAUUCCGAUACAGAAACUGGAUUUUCCGUUUGCUGUUUCAAAACCCAACAAGGUAAAACGAUUCCUGAUUCUUCCAGUUUCAUAGAAACCAAACAUGGAAGUAAAUAAAAGAAACCAAAGCCCUUAACUACAAACCGAAAUUCCUAGCCAUAGAUAACAUAAUAAUCUUGUUUCUGAACUCGAGAUCAUGUAUAUACGAGGUUCAUAUAGUGAGAGAAAGAAAGAGAGAGAUGCUCACAGGAAGUGAAAAAGCUGUUUUGAAAUAGAUACUCUCGUUCUAUGGGUUGCAGAGAAGCUGAGAUAGAAGGCAAGAAGAAACAAUAGACAGAAAUAUGGUCGCAAGGCGUCAGUAUCGCGUCUAU